rnacentral:rRNA from 1 species
AGCGAACGCUGGCGGCAGGCUUAACACAUGCAAGUCGAGCGGGGUGAUGGUGCUUGCACUAUCACUUAGCGGCGGACGGGUGAGUAAUGCUUAGGAAUCUGCCUAUUAGUGGGGGACAACAUCUCGGAAGGGAUGCUAAUACCGCAUACGUCCUACGGGAGAAAGCAGGGGAUCACUUGUGACCUUGCGCUAAUAGAUGAGCCUAAGUCGGAUUAGCUAGUUGGUGGGGUAAAGGCCUACCAAGGCGACGAUCUGUAGCGGGUCUGAGAGGAUGACCCGCCACACUGGGACUGAGACACGGCCCAGACUCCUACGGGAGGCAGCAGUGGGGAAUAUUGGACAAUGGGGGGAACCCUGAUCCAGCCAUGCCGCGUGUGUGAAGAAGGCCUUAUGGUUGUAAAGCACUUUAAGCGAGGAGGAGGCUCUUUUGGUUAAUACCCAAGAUGAGUGGACGUUACUCGCAGAAUAAGCACCGGCUAACUCUGUGCCAGCAGCCGCCGUAA